UCUCUUCAAGAUGGAUUUGAACCAACAAUUUAUUGGUUAACAGCCAAUUGCUUUUCCAUUAAGCUAUUGAAGA
rnacentral:tRNA from 1 species